rnacentral:lncRNA from 1 species
UUGCCAACACAUACUCUCCCCAAUAUCUCAAAUGUAACUUUGUCUGAAAUAGGAGUGCCCUGACUGCUUCAAGUAAGUACCAUGUUUUCUUUCUUCCAUAAUGUUAUGUUGUGGUAUAUAGGGACAUGAUUUUUAGUGAAUGAUGCCUUUUGAUUGGAAAAAGGAGUUGAUUUUUGUGUUGGUGAACUCCGAACAAAUAUUUGUUCUUAUGGUCUUUAUGGAACUUUUGAACUAUUUUUUUAACAACCCGACAUUGUUUCAAGAGCUAUAGCUUCAUUAUCUUAUUGUUUGCUUCUUUUGUGUUCUUCAACUAUAUCAUUGUAUAUUGGGUUUGUUUGUUCAGGUCCGGAGUGGUUUCUGAGUGAAAUGAGAUACAUAGUCUCUUAAUUCGAAUUUUUAAGUUAGAAAAGGUUGAUCGGGUGUUGACUUAUAUAUAAAUGAUCUCAGAAUUUAAUUUUGAUGGUUCCUUUAGCUCCAUUAGACAAUUAUAUUAUUAGAACAUCCGGAAAAUGAUUUGGAGGUCCAUAAUAGAAUUUGGCUUGAAUUUGCGGUAGUUGGAAUUUUGGCGAUUUUGGCCUACGGUGAAAAUUUUGAUAUCUGGGUUAUAUUGGAAUUUUGGAAGUUGGAGUAUGUUGAUGGUGUCAUUUCUUACUUAUGUGUAAAAUUUUAGGUUAUUCAGAUAUGGUUUGGUAUGUUUCCGCAUCAUUUAUGAAAUUCAGAAGUUUUGAGUAUUUUAAGGUUUGACUAAGUUCGUAUGAUGUUAUACGAUUUGUUGGUAUGUUUGGCUGUGGUCCUGAGGGCCUCGAGGUGAUUUUAGAUGGUUGAAGACUCGAUUUGAGUUGAGAAAUUGCAGUUGAAGUGCUGCUACUACUGGUGUAACUGCACCUGCGGAGUAGGAACCGCAGGUCCACGCUCGCAGAAGCGAAAUAGGAGCCGCAUAAGCUGCUAAGGAUGAGCUGGGCAAGGGAUGCAGGUGCAUUGGCAUUCCUGAACUUGCACAGGUCGCAAAAGCGGACUCAAAGGCGCAAGUGCUAGUUUAGACAACAGAAGCGAGAUAGUUUCUGCACCUGCGAAAGGCAAAAAUGUGGUCUUGAGGCUGUAGGGGCGAGGUAAGGAUUUUAAGUGAAAUCCACACCUGCGAUGGAAUUUGCAUAGGUGCAGCAUCGCAGAAGAGACAAAUGAACCACAUGUGCAAUAUUGUUGGGUAGAAGAACACCAUCUCGAGGGUUUUGUCUUUCAUUUUCAAUUUGGAGUUUAGGAACUCGGGAGAGAGGAGAAUUUUUGAAGAUUUUCACAGAGAACGUUGGGGUAAGUGAUUCUAACCCAUAAUGGUCUAAAUUUCAUGAAUCCAUGGCUUUACUCAUCAAUUAAUUUGGGAUUUAAGUUGGAAACUUGGUAAUUUAGGGAUUGAGAAUUUAGAGACUGCAUUCUGGGGAUUAGGAGGGGCAAGUGAUGUCAUAUUUUAUAAAUGUUUUAUGGUUAAACUCGUGAGGAAUGGGCUUUCAGGUUUUUUGAUUUUGUCAGCUUUCUAGACGUGGGCCUAGGGGCUGGGUUUGAGUCAAUUUCGGAUUUUGGUUAUAAUUUGGCAUUUUCCUUGUGGAAUUGUAUCCAUUAGCCUAUAUUGAUCGUAUUGUAUUGCUUGUGGUUAGAUUCGGGGCAUUUGCAGGCCUAUUUCAGAGGCAAAGGCAUUGUGGAGUAGGAUUUUUGCUUGGUGUGAGGUAAGUAACACUUCCAAACUUGAUUUUGAGGGUUUAAAACCCCGAACUAUGUGCUAUGUGUUUAGUAUUGAGGUGACACACAUGCCAAGUGACGCGCGUGCCUGUGUGCACUGUGAGAGUUGUGAUCUGGGUGAUUCCAUGGCACCGUUUAGUGACUCUAUCAUGUCGAUAUCCAUCCUUUCAUCAUGUGAUAAAGUAAUUCAGCUGUAAAUCAUGUUAGAUAUCAAGUUUAGGCUAUAUGUUAGUAUUAUUGGGAUCCUUAAUGGUCGUUUCUUGCUAUCAUCUCAUUAAUAUUAUCAACAUUUUGUACUCAGUCAUAUUCAUGCUUUUUUAUAUCAUAUCUCAGUCUUAGUUAGUUAUUGAUUCAUCAUAUCAUUGUUCCGGGUUUGUGUUCAUGACAUUGUGAGCCCAUGGGUGAGACUGGAGAUAUUUAUGAUGAGUGUGGUGGAAAACCUAGUUAUGGGUGACAGUUAUAGGAUCAGGCUUCAUGCCACAGCUAUUAUAUUUAAGAUUAUGAUAGUGAUUAGGCUGUAGGAUCCCCCUCUGAAGUCUGUAACACACCCUCAGCGAGUGGGGAUGAUAUUAUUGAGGGAUGCAUUUUCCUAGACAUGGAUUUCUACGCAGUACUUGAUACUUGGAGAUAAUUUUUCAAUAGGUUUGGAUUUCCCUUUUUCUCAGUACUGGGUGACAUACAGUCAGUGUUGUAUAUGUUUCGGAAUUGAUUUUCUUGGGCCAAUGGCCAUAUAUAGUACUUAGUGGCUGAGAACUUGAGAGUGGGAGCACCAGGUGCAUAGAUAUAGUCUAUUCAUUGGCAUGUAAAGAUAGCUAAGUUGUAUGCAAUACACUAUUCAAAUCUGUAUUUACCUCAUUGCUUUGAGUUAUCUAUUUUACUUUUAUGCAUGCCUACAUUUUUGCACAUUAUAUCUAUAAAUAUCUGUUGAGGUUGAGUUCGUCACUAUCUUUUAGUCUAAUGUUUGGACUUGUUACUUACUGAGUUGGUGUACUGAUGUUAUCCCCUGCACCUCGUAUGCAGAUCCAGGUGAUACCGGUCGCAACGAUGGUUGCUGAUUGAGGUUCUAGAGUUUAGAGACUAUCGAGGUAGCAGUAUGGCAUUUGAGGACCUUGAAUCUCCUUUUUUACCUUAUGUCGUGCUUUUAGUUUAUUUUUUUAGACACUACACUGGACUGUAUUCUGAUGUAGAUGCGCAUGUACUCAGUAUACCCCAGUUUUGGGCUAGAUUGUAUUAUUU